UACGAAGGGGGCUAGCGUUGCUCGGAAUUACUGGGCGUAAAGGGCGCGUAGGCGGCACUGUUAGUCAGGCGUGAAAUUCCUGGGCUCAACCUGGGGACUGCGCUUGAUACGGCAGAGCUAGAUGAUGGAAGAGGCUCGCGGAAUUCCCAGUGUAGAGGUGAAAUUCGUAGAUAUUGGGAAGAACACCGGUGGCGAAGGCGGCGAGCUGGUCCAUUACUGACGCUGAGGCGCGACAGCGUGGGGAGCAAACAGG
rnacentral:rRNA from 1 species